rnacentral:rRNA from 1 species
CGGGACACGUGGUAUCCUGUCUGAAUAUGGGGGGACCAUCCUCCAAGGCUAAAUACUCCUGACUGACCGAUAGUGAACCAGUACCGUGAGGGAAAGGCGAAAAGAACCCCGGCGAGGGGAGUGAAAAAGAACCUGAAACCGUGUACGUACAAGCAGUGGGAGCACGCUUAGGCGUGUGACUGCGUACCUUUUGUAUAAUGGGUCAGCGACUUAUAUUCUGUAGCAAGGUUAACCGAAUAGGGGAGCCGAAGGGAAACCGAGUCUUAACUGGGCGUUAAGUUGCAGGGUAUAGACCCGAAACCCGGUGAUCUAGCCAUGGGCAGGUUGAAGGUUGGGUAACACUAACUGGAGGACCGAACCGACUAAUGUUGAAAAAUUAGCGGAUGACUUGUGGCUGGGGGUGAAAGGCCAAUCAAACCGGGAGAUAGCUGGUUCUCCCCGAAAGCUAUUUAGGUAGCGCCUCGUGAAUUCAUCUCCGGGGGUAGAGCACUGUUUCGGCAAGGGGGUCAUCCCGACUUACCAACCCGAUGCAAACUGCGAAUACCGGAGAAUGUUAUCACGGGAGACACACGGCGGGUGCUAACGUCCGUCGUGAAGAGGGAAACAACCCAGACCGCCAGCUAAGGUCCCAAAGUCAUGGUUAAGUGGGAAACGAUGUGGGAAGGCCCAGACAGCCAGGAUGUUGGCUUAGAAGCAGCCAUCAUUUAAAGAAAGCGUAAUAGCUCACUGGUCGAGUCGGCCUGCGCGGAAGAUGUAACGGGGCUAAACCAUGCACCGAAGCUGCGGCAGCGACACUAUGUGUUGUUGGGUAGGGGAGCGUUCUGUAAGCCUGCGAAGGUGUGCUGUGAGGCAUGCUGGAGGUAUCAGAAGUGCGAAUGCUGACAUAAGUAACGAUAAAGCGGGUGAAAAGCCCGCUCGCCGGAAGACCAAGGGUUCCUGUCCAACGUUAAUCGGGGCAGGGUGAGUCGACCCCUAAGGCGAGGCCGAAAGGCGUAGUCGAUGGGAAACAGGUUAAUAUUCCUGUACUUGGUGUUACUGCGAAGGGGGGACGGAGAAGGCUAUGUUGGCCGGGCGACGGUUGUCCCGGUUUAAGCGUGUAGGCUGGUUUUCCAGGCAAAUCCGGAAAAUCAAGGCUGAGGCGUGAUGACGAGGCACUACGGUGCUGAAGCAACAAAUGCCCUGCUUCCAGGAAAAGCCUCUAAGCAUCAGGUAACAUCAAAUCGUACCCCAAACCGACACAGGUGGUCAGGUAGAGAAUACCAAGGCGCUUGAGAGAACUCGGGUGAAGGAACUAGGCAAAAUGGUGCCGUAACUUCGGGAGAAGG